GCUGAAAAGGACGAGGAAGAGGAGACCUGUGCCAGUCUCUUCAUUCUGGACCGGCUAGUCCGAUCCAACAUUUCCAAAAUGACACACCAUACAGAGAAGCUGUUCACAGCCCUGGGGCCAAUCCUGCAGAGCACAAGCAUACGGGUCAGAGAAGCCCCUGCUUAUUUUAUACGGACAAUGGGGGCGCAUGGGGUCUUGGAGAA